UACGUAGGGUGCAAGCGGUGUCCGGAAUUAUUGGGCGUAAAGAGCUCGUAGGCGGUCUGUUGCGUCGGCUGUGAAAACCCGGGGCUCAACCCCGGGCCUGCAGCCGAUACGGGCAGACUAGAGUUCGGCAGGGGAGACUGGAAUUCCUGGUGUAGCGGUGAAAUGCGCAGAUAUCAGGAGGAACACCGGUGGCGAAGGCGGGUCUCUGGGCCGAUACUGACGCUGAGGAGCGAAAGCGUGGGGAGCGAACAGG
rnacentral:rRNA from 1 species